AGUGAACGCUGGCGGUAGGCCUAACACAUGCCAGUCGAACGGCAGCACAGUAAGAGCUUGCUCUUACGGGUGGCGAGUGGCGGACGGGUGAGGAAUACAUCGGAAUCUACUUUUUCGUGGGGGAUAACGUAGGGAAACUUACGCUAAUACCGCAUACGACCUACGGGUGAAAGCAGGGGAUCUUCGGACCUUGCGCGAUUGAAUGAGCCGAUGUCGGAUUAGCUAGUUGGCGGGGUAAAGGCCCACCAAGGCGACGAUCCGUAGCUGGUCUGAGAGGAUGAUCAGCCACACUGGAACUGAGACACGGUCCAGACUCCUACGGGAGGCAGCAGUGGGGAAUAUUGGACAAUGGGCGCAAGCCUGAUCCAGCCAUACCGCGUGGGUGAAGAAGGCCUUCGGGUUGUAAAGCCCUUUUGUUGGGAAAGAAAAGCAGCAGGUUAAUACCCCGCUGUUCUGACGGAACCCAAAGAAUAAGCACCGGCUAACUUCGUG
rnacentral:rRNA from 1 species